UUAGCCUAGUGGUUAAGGCUAUGGAUCGCCAAUCCAGAGAUUCCCGUUCCAGUCGGGAA
rnacentral:tRNA from 1 species